CCAGCAGCGGGUGGGCCGGAUCAAGAACCUCACGACGGUGCUGGGAGCGGUGUACCUCCCGCUCUGCUCACUGAUCGUGUUCAUGCUGCUGGC
rnacentral:tRNA from 1 species